rnacentral:rRNA from 1 species
UACGGAGGGUGCAAGCGUUAAUCGGAAUUACUGGGCGUAAAGCGCACGCAGGUGGCUGAGUCAGUCGAUUGUGAAAGCCCUGGGCUUAACCUGGGAAUUGCAGUCGAUACUACUCAGCUAGAGUAUGGGAGAGGGUAGUGGAAUUCCAGGUGUAGCGGUGAAAUGCGUAGAUAUCUGGAGGAAUACCGGUGGCGAAGGCGGCAUCCUGGACCGAGAUUGACACUGAGGAGCGAAAGCCAGGGGAGCAAACGGG